CUGCAAAGGGUGAAAACUGAGUUGUCUGCAUUACACGUGGGUCUUUGGCAGAUAGAGAUGGGGAGACAGGACAUUUCUGCAGAAAGGACAAUGUGCAGGUGUGAUGCAGCAUGAUUUUUUCAGGGGCACUAGAAGCAUGUGGUAUUUGGUCACCUGUUAGGAGCCUGACUCCAUGCCAAGUGCUGAAGCUGUCACCAUGGUUAAGAUCCCCACCAUCUGCAGCCUACUACAGGGGAGGCUACACUCCUGAAGAAACGGGAUUUGGAGUUGUUCCAGCUGAUGUCAAAGACCACACACAAGGACAUGGACCUCAAUGGCUCAUUCACACGAGCAUGACAGUUACCCAGGAUGAACUGCAAAAAGCUAUCUGUGGAUGGUUAACUGCAGCUUGCAGUCUAUCUGAGAAAACAAAACGUACCCUCAAGCAGAUAAAUGCCAUUUACUGCCAUUCCUAUGAUCUCAGCGCUAUGUGGGUUUAAUCAGCCUUCUGCUAAAAGGAACCAGGUCCAAGACAUUCAGCAUGGCAUGGUAGCUAAGCAAGACCCAGUGUCUUCAUUCAGCACUGACAGAGUCACUGUCUCUGAGCAGCACUUAGCUACAGAAACGUUGAAGCCUUCUGCAAUUUAUUAUGCUGAGUGCAUCUAAUCAACAUGUAGAAUAAAGAUGGAGCUCCAGAAAAGUUAGCACGCAAUCUGGAUGACAGGUGCUGAGCAAGGACAGCCUCUUCCCAAUGCUCUCCAUGAGGCCUGCUGUUUCCAGGGAAUGAUAUUAUCAUCCUUGGCAUCUAGAACAGGACUCAAUGUAAGAUUGUCUAAGGCAGUCACUGGCUACAGUUCAUGGAAGCUUCAGGACUGCACUUGGCAUGAGCUCUCAGAACUAUGGAAAAAAGAAGCUCUUAGGUGGAACAUUUCUAGCUAAAAAAUGUAUAGUUUUGUUGUUGUUGUUGCUGUUUCUGUUCGUUUCUUCAUUUUUAUUUUUAGAAAUAGGAUUUCAAAGGGCAUCUGUCCUGGUCCCUCAGGAAAGAACAUUUUCUAAAGCGUCCCCAUCAAUAAUGCCUCCGGUGUCAUAGAUCCCUCUUGGCCAUCCAGCUCUGCCACCGUGCCUGGAUUCUGCAUUUUCAAAGUGACCAGCUUACCAGCAGCAUCCUCUUCUGCCUCUUGACUCACACAGAUCCCAUAAAUAAGCAUUCACUGAGGCCUGCUCUGAGUGAGGCUCUGGGGAAAGUGCUGUGGGACCUUCAAGAGCAAUAGCAGCCCUGAGCUCCAGGAGCUUCCCCGCUGAGGUGGGGAAUUGUGAUGCAUGGAACAUCUCCAACACACAAAGCAGAUUCUUGCUGGGCUUUGAAUUGGAAUUACAUUGAUAGUAUUAACUCGGGGGAGACCUGAUAUAUUUAAAAGAAAAAAAUAAGCCGGGCAUGAUGGCUCACGCCUCUAAUCCCAGCACUUGGGGAGGCUGAGGCAGGUGGAUCAUUUGAGGUCAGGAGUUUGAGACCAGCCUGGCCAACAUGGUGAGACCCCAUCUCUACUAAAAAUACAAAAAUUAGCCGGGCGUGGUGGGUGCCUGUAACCCCAGCUACGUGGGAGGCUGAGGCAGGAGAAUCACUUGAACCUGGGAGAUGGAGGCUGCAGUGAGCUGAGAUCACGCCACUGCACUUCAGCCUGGGUGACACAGUGAGACUCUGUCUCAAAAAAUAAAAAAAAAAAAGAAAAAAAUAUAGGUGAUGGAACAGAAAAGUAGGCAGUGGCUAUGAAGAUGCGAUCCAAAUAUAAGGUAACACUUAUCAUCAAAGACAUAGCAAUUAAGGCAACCAUGAGACAGCAUCUUGUGUCUGUCAGAUUGGGGGAAAAAUACUAAAUUGAAUAAUGUCAAUUGUUGUUGAGGAUUGAGGAAAUAGCCUUCCAUGAAAUGUGUCUAGAAGUCUAAAUGAGUGUAGACACUCCCGAGAGCAAUCUGGCAGUAUUUAGCAAUCCCACACCUGGGCUUAUAACUUGGACAAACUCUGAUUAUAACAGACUAGCCCAAGGAUAUGUUUAUUGUAGUAUUAUUGGUGGUAGUGAUGAGUUGGAGGCAAUGUAAGUUUCUACCACAAAGAGGGCUGAUAAGAGCAUUUGAUGAAUAGUAUGCAGUAGUCAGAAUAAUAAAGCAGAUGUACACUCAGCAUGGAGAGAUCUGAAUAAGAUACUGUUGGCUGAUGACAGUAAGACAUGGAUUGAGAUAUAUAGCAGAUUGUCAUUUAUAUAAAUUCAAAAUACAUGCACAAGAUGAUCAUGUCUCUAGUAGCUACAAAAGUGCUUGAUAUAGAGUAGGCCUUCAAUAAAUGGUUUUACUUGUCAAUAAAAAUAUAUAUACUAAAUAAAUCUCUAACAUUUAUGUAUAUUAAGAAUACAUAGAUAUACACAUAUUUUAAGGGUGUACACAAGUAUGAAACAUAAUUUAAGGGCAUCGCUCUUCUGGAUAGUCACCCAGUGCUCAAAUGUAGUUCCCUGGAGUGAAGUAAAAUUAAUUCACAAACCUCUGUUACAUCCAAGGUCAAAUAUCCUCAAGAACACCCACUCUCCAUUCCCUGGUUUUAUACUCACUGAGUAACAUUCUGAAGCCUGAGACUUUUAUAGGUACCCAGUUGCCAGAAAAGGCAGAAAGAAGAUUUCCCCAAAAGAAAAUACAUGAAUAUUCAAUUUAUUUAAAAACAUCUGAGCAGGUCUAAGCAAUAUAAAUUAAUAUAGUAGCAUCAGUGUCUUGUGAGUGAUUAAGAUGAGUGUCCUAAGAUUUAGUUGCUUAACUGAUUCCUCUAUGUCCCUAAAUCAAAUGAUGAAAUAUAGAUUUAGGUUCAAUUUUUUUGAAAGAAUACUUCAUAGGUCAUUCUGUGUGCUUCCUACCGCACUACGUUUAGGAGGGAGGCACAUCGUGUGUGGUUGUCCCAAUUUUAGUAAUGCUGAGAUUGGUCAGGGGGUCCAGGUGGUGUCUGACCUUGUUCCAUCAUUACAAAAGAAGUCAUCAUCUACUUUUUACCUAGUGGUUUCAGUAUCUUUGGAUAAUCACUACUUAGAUUUAUCAAGGUGUGCAAAAUGAUUUUCUAAUUCUGUGGUUCCUUCUAUAUACAUUAGCUGGGAUUCUUCAAAAUGUAACUUACAAAAAUGUAACUUACAAAACAAACAAAAUCACUAUCAAGACUUGACGUUUCUUCUUCCUUAUCGAUUUUCAGAAUAGUGAUAAAAGUUACCAUUAAUUAUUUCUAGUGGAGACCAAUAUGUUUUUCUCAUCAUUAUAUACUAUUUUCUUUCUUUCUUUUUUUUUGAGACAAAGUCUUGCUCUGUCGCCAGACUAGAGUGCAGUGGCAUGAUCUUGGCUCACUGCAACCUUGGCCUCCUGGGUUCGAGCAAUUCUUCUGCCUCAGCCUCCCAAGUAGCUGAGACUACAGGUGCACACCACCACGCCCAGCUAAUUUUUGUAUUUUUGUAGAGAUGGGGUUUCACCAUGUUGGCCAGGAUGGUCUUAAUCUCUUGACCUCACAAUCUGCCCACCUCAACCUCCCAAAGUACUGGGAUUACAGGCAAGAGCCACCGCACCCAGCCCAUGAAUUUUUAUAUAUUUGAUGAGGUUGAAUUAACUGCCAUCAUUAUUCUCUUUUCUCUCUCUCUUUAGGAUAUUUUAAACAACUUAUAUUCAAUAAACUGCGUAUGUUUAAAUGGUACACUUUGUAAAGCUUCGGCAUAAUAUACAGUCACAAAAGCAUAAUUGAGGUACCAAACAUAUCUAUUGUAAUCUAAAAUGUCCUUGUGCCCUUUGUAACCUCAUGCUCCUCCUCCAUACUAUAUCCCCAGGCGACCUCUGAUUUACUUUAUGUUGGCAUUUUCUAGAAAUUUAUACAAAUGGCAUUAUUUAGUAUGUACUCUUUGUGUCUGACUGCUUUUACUUAGCAUAAUUAUUUUGAGAUUCAACAUGUUGUUGUCUGUAUCAAUACUUUUAAUUGUCACGUGGUAUGCUAUUGUAUGACUAUGUCACAAUUAUUUAGCCAUUGAUGAACAUUUGGGUCAUUUCCAGUUCGGGGUUACUACAAAUAAAGCUGCUAAGAACAUUUUUGUAUAAAUCUUUGUGUAGACAUAGAUUUUAUUUCUAUUGGAUAAAUACCUACUAGUGGAAAGGCUGCAUCAGAUAGUAGGGUAUAUACCUAACUUUUCAAAAAAAACUGCCAAUGUGUUUUCCAUAGAAGUGCUAUGAGAGUUUCAAUUCUUCCCCCAUUCUCUCCAAUAUUUAGUAUGGUCAGACCUUAUAGUUUUAUCCAUUUUAAUAGGAGUAUAUCAUGGUUUGAAUGUGUCCCCUCCAAAAUUCAGGUGUUGACAUUUUAUGGCCAAUGUGAUAAUAUUAAGAGGUGGGACCUUUAAGAGGUGGUUAGGUCCUGAGGGC
ensembl:lincRNA